GACGUAGGAGGCGAGCGUUGUCCGGAUUCAUUGGGCGUAAAGAGCACGCAGGCGGUUUGGCAAGUCGGAUGUGAAAACCCGAAGCUCAACUUCGGGCCUGCAUCCGAAACUGCCCGACUAGAGGUAGGUAGGGGAGAUCGGAAUUCCUGGUGUAGCUGGUGAAAUGCGGCAGAAUAUCGAGAGGAACACCGGUGGCAAGGGCGGAAUCUCC
rnacentral:rRNA from 1 species